rnacentral:rRNA from 1 species
UACAGAGGUCUCAAGCGUUGUUCGGAUUCAUUGGGUUUAAAGGGUGCGUAGGUGGGCAGGUAAGUCAGUGGUGAAAUCUUUGGGCUUAACCCGAAAACUGCCAUUGAUACUAUUUGUCUUGAAUAUUGUGGAGGUCAGCGGAAUAUGUCAUGUAGCGGUGAAAUGCUUAGAUAUGACAUAGAACAACAAUUGCGAAGGCAGCUGGCUACACAUAUAUUGACACUGAUGCACGAAAGCGUGGGGAUCAAACAGG